GCCUUCGUGGUGUAGUGGUCAGCACACUCAGCGCGUAUUCGAGAGGUCCGUGGUUCGAAUCCCUGCGAGGGCG
rnacentral:tRNA from 1 species